rnacentral:lncRNA from 1 species
GGCCGGGCGCGCUCCCUUCUGGGCGAGCACGUGCGAGGCGCGCGCCAUGGAACGGCCCUUAGCUGAGUUUCGGUUUGCGCCGAAACUGCCGGCCUGGCGGCCCAACGCAGCAUUUCCAGCCAGGACGCAUAAACCUCGGGAGAGAAGGUGGAAGCCGCAGCGACUCUAAAGGCAGCCCCCGGCUGACUAAAGCUGUUCUUGGCCUGUCAUACUUUCUCCUUCCUAGGAAAUUGCUGAUGAUGAAGGGAUCAAGAAACUGUAAUAUAUAUUCACAAAGAAAUAUUCUUUGGCCAUCAAGAUAAUUAAAGGAUGUCAUCUGGAGGAACACAGGCGGCCCGCCGAGGCUGCAGCUGCCUUGUCCUGCACUGUGGAUGGAAGCCUGCACUGUGGACGGAAGCCUGCACUGUGGACGGAAGCCUGCACUGUGGACGGAAGCCACUCUUCUGACAAGAGGUGGAGCUCAGGUGGUAAUGCUCGCUCCUGCUGUGCCACCAGGUUCCUAACAGGCCACGGACGGUACUGGUCCGGGGUGGGGGACCCCUGCUCCAGAUGACAGCCAGAGUAGUCUUAAAUGACCUUGUGCUGUGCACGAAGGUGGUAUGCAAUCAGAAGACGUCUGAGACAAGUAUGCAUCUCCCACCACAACAUUAUAUGAUGCUUGGAGUAAAAACAGUCAUCCCUGUUCCUACCUACAAUUGUAUUAUUCAAUCAAAAUUGCUGCCAGACAUGGUGGCUCAUACCUGUAGUCCCAGCACUUUGGGAGGCCGAGGCCGGGCAGAUCGCUUGAGACCAGGAUUUGAGACUAGCCUGGACAACAUGCUAUGUUUCUCAAAUUGAUAUACUGUGAUCUCCUAAGCCAGUUACAGAUUGAUACGGAUUUAAAUUACUUCCUAUUUUCUGUUUUAUAAACAAUAAACACUGUUAUGAUAUAGUUUUCA